rnacentral:rRNA from 1 species
CCUACGGGAGGCUGCAGUGGGGAAUAUUGCACAAUGGGCGCAAGCCUGAUGCAGCCAUGCCGCGUGUGUGAAGAAGGCCUUCGGGUUGUAAAGCACUUUCAGCGGGGAGGAAGGCGUUAAGGUUAAUAACCUUGGCGAUUGACGUUACCCGCAGAAGAAGCACCGGCUAACUCCGUGCCAGCAGCCGCGGUAAUACGGAGGGUGCAAGCGUUAAUCGGAAUUACUGGGCGUAAAGCGCACGCAGGCGGUCUGUCAAGUCGGAUGUGAAAUCCCCGGGCUCAACCUGGGAACUGCAUUCGAAACUGGCAGGCUAGAGUCUUGUAGAGGGGGGUAGAAUUCCAGGUGUAGCGGUGAGAUGCGUAGAGAUCUGGAGGAAUACCGGUGGCGAAGGCGGCCCCCUGGACAAAGACUGACGCUCAGGUGCGAAAGCGUGGGGAGCAAACAGGAUUAGAUACCCGGGUAGUC